rnacentral:rRNA from 1 species
CCUACGGGGGGCAGCAGUGGGGGAUAUUGCACAAUGGGGGGAACCCUGAUGCAGCGACGCCGCGUGGGGGAAGACGGUCCUCUGGAGUGUAAACCACUGUCCCCAGGGACGAAAAUGACGGUACCUGGGGAGGAAGCGCCGGCUCACUACGUGCCAGCAGCCGCGGUAAUAAGUAGGGAGCGAGCGUGGCCAGGAAGUACUGGGGGUAAAGGGAGCGGAGGGGGGGGUGCAAGUUGGGUGUCAAAACUACCGGCUAAACUGGUAGUCGCACUCAAAACUGCAGCUCUUGAGUGAAGUAGAGGCAGGCGGAAUUCCUAGUGUAGCGGUGACAUGCGUAGAUAUUAGGAGGAACACCAGUGGCGAAGGCGGCCUGCUGGGCUUUUACUGACGCUGAGGCUCGAAAGUGUGGGGAGCAAACAGGAUUCGAUACCCUUGUAGUC